GGACUCCAUCCUGGGCACGGGGCGCGGGUAACGAAUCAACUUGCACUGCAGCUCUGACUGGCGUCCUUAUCUAUGUGACAACACGUAAAGCAGCUCCUUGAUCAGACCUGCAAUUUUUGAAUGAUGAAGCAGAAUUUUAGAUAAUUAUGCCAGUUCAGUUGCAGCACGGGAGCCUGGUGCAAGAGUUGAAAGGAAAGAAGAACAAAGGAAAGAUCUUCACAGUAUCAAAAGUAAAGAAUUGAAAAACAAGAACAAAAACAAAACCAAACACAAAGAGAGCAGUGUUGGGCCA